GCAGGCAGCUCUGCUAGAAAUCUCAGUUGUUUUCUCGAGAUCAUGAAAUAAUUGUUUUGUUUUUUCGAGAUCACGGAAUAAUUAUCUGUUUUCUCGAGAUCACGGAAUGAAAGUGUUGUUUUCUCAAGAUCUCUAAUUAAUUAUGUCGUUAUCUUGGGAUAACAAGGUGAAUUAAAAAAGAUUAUAUGAAGUCCUCUGUCGGCUUCCGUAUGUAUGACAAUUU